AAAUAUUACAUAACUAAUUAUGGUGGUGAUCCAACACUUUUGUAAAGUAUUUAAAUGCUCUUUUGUGAAUAUAAUAGUGACUAAAAAUAAUUGUUAAAUGCCUUUCCUAAUUUAAAAUGUUAAACUAUUUUUAUUAUGUGUGAAACUUUUUGUGGCUGUGGGUUAUUUUGUAAAUCGAUUUAUAGAGCCAGUCAUAUGUUUUAGUAAAGCUGUUUUUGCUUACUAAAAUAAUAUAAACAGAGUGUAAUAAAAAGAAAGAAAACCAAAACGAAACAAAAAAAAAGAACCGGCCUACCCCAAGGCUUUGGCCCACUAAACCAUCAGGCCGGCCCACCCUCACCGAACCCUCCUCUAUCUCCUAUUCACGCGACCGGGUCGCUACAGGGGCUUGGUCGCCGCCGCACCCUCUCGCCGACAGCGCCGGGAGGGGAUAAGGGCGCCACGCCCUGACCCCUCGAUCCCAUCUCCCCACUCACCCACUCCACGAUCCUCCCCCGCCUGCUCCACCUCCCUCUCCAGAUGCGCCAUCGACGAGCGUUGUUGUCUCCACCACCGUCGACCACCGCGGCGUCCGUCGUCGUCGUCCCUCUCCUAGGCAUCCAGGGACCCCAUCGUCCAUGAAUUCAUCAACUACACCGAGCCGACGAGCCGGGGAGCAGCCACCAAGCCGCCUGCUUCUUCUUCUUCCCCGUCGGUCACCAUGAACUUGCCGUCGACCUUCCUCACCUUCGGCCACAGCUGCAGCUACUAAUCUUUCACCGGCCUCCGUGAGCCGCCCGGUGAGCUCAGUCCCCUCCCCCUGGCCUCGGCCAUCUCCACGGCACCCGACCCGCGCUCACUCCGUCCAGUCAAUGCCCUGACUCUGCUCGCGCCUGCACCCCUGACUCUGCUCGCCCUGCCGUGGCCUCACGCACACUCACCUAUGCGUCGCCGCGCCCCUACUGUUCCAUGCCGUGCGAGCUCCGGCCGAGCUCGCGGACAGCCCGACCGCCGGCACGCGCGUAUCCGUCCCGCUACUGCUGCUUGCUGCCUCACUACGACCCGCGCACGUUCGCCGCUCGCCUCCUGGUGCCCCCCGGUCGUGCACUCGCGCCUGUGCCNNNNNNNNNNNNNNNNNNNNNNNNNNNNNNNNNNNNNNNNNNNNNNNNNNNNNNNNNNNNNNNNNNNNNNNNNNNNNNNNNNNNNNNNNNNNNNNNNNNNNNNNNNNNNNNNNNNNNNNNNNNNNNNNNNNNNNNNNNNNNNNNNNNNNNNNNNNNNNNNNNNNNNNNNNNNNNNNNNNNNNNNNNNNNNNNNNNNNNNNNNNNNNNNNNNNNNNNNNNNNNNNNNNNNNNNNNNNNNNNNNNNUGACCUGCCGUGGCCUUGCCUCCGCCGGUCGCGCCCGCAUGCAUGCUUCAGCGCUGCUGCUUGCCACUCCAGUGCAUGCGUGCCUAGCCAUGAAUCGUUGGCUUGCUACUGCCCAGCAUGGCCGACCUAUUUAGAUUAGAGCUAGAUCAGUUUAGGGAUCAAUUAGUGGCUAGCUUAGCCUAUGUACAAAUGACAUACGGGUCCCAUGUAAUUAACAGUCUAAAUAAAUCCCUAAAUACAACCACUGCCGCUGCUUACUGUACUUGUAGCUACUGUAGCUACUAGCUAGCUUUUGUAUUUCUACAAUGAGUAACCCCCUAGACAGCCCCUAAACUGCGGUUAAACAGUUGUUAACAUGAGUGAAAAUAAUAUGAGUAGAAUGCGUACAUGACAAACUCCAUUUUAUCCCACUGAACCAAAUCCUUGUGAUGUAUGGAUUAAUUCCUACAAAAAUCACAAAGUUCAAUGUUCUGUUAAUAGAAGAACUGAAAACAGCUUUAUUUUCAUAGGUACUUUAGUGCUGUUGAUGAUCAAGCAAAUGAACUCCAAUAUAGAUGUAAUUGGCACUAACAUGUAGAUCACAGAAAAUGCUCAAAAUUGAUAUAAGGCCCAAAAUUAUAGGAGGUACAGAUCCAUAGUUGUAGCAUCCAGAAAACAGCUAAGUGAUGUUCAAAAACUGAACAAUUCUCAGACUUAGCCAAUUUUCAGGAAUUCCAUAAUAUUGUUUAAACUUCGAAAAAUCAUAGAAAAUAAUCCGUAGCUCGGAUGAAAAUACUUUGUACAUGAAAGUUGCUUAGAACGACGAGAUGAAUCCGAAUCCGCGGUCCGUUUGUCAUCCACACGUCCCUAGCAUAGCGAACACGUAACUUUUCCCCUUCGGUUCAUCUGUCCGAAAACGCGAAACUCCGGGGAUACUUUCCCGGAUGUUUUCCCCCUUCACCGGUAUCACCUACUACUGUGUUAGGUCACCCUAGUACCGUGUGUGCCAUAUCUUGCUUUGUGAUGCUUUGAUUGCUCUGUUAUUUAUUGUGUUCCCGUCCAUACUUCUUUCCGGUAGACUCCGAGACCGCUGCCGAUGUCCGUGUGUUCGACUACAUCGAAGAUGGCCCCUCUCUCUUGCCAGAGCAACCAGGCAAGCCCCCCCUUUGAUCACCAGAUAUCGCCUACUCUUCUCUAUACUGCUUGCAUUAGAGUAGUGUAGCAUGUUACUGCUUUCGUUAUUCCUAUCCUGAGGCAUAGCCUGUCCUUGCUACUACUGUUGUUACCAUUACCUGUUAUCCUACUGCUUAGUAUAGGAUGCUAGUGUUCCAUCAGUGGCCCUACACUCUUGUCCGUCUGCCAUGCUAUACUACUGGGCCGUGAUCACUUCGGGAGGUGAUCACGGGCAUAUACUAUAUACUUUACACAGUUACAUUACCUGUGGUACUGUCCGGAGUUGGGGGCUGAAGGGGCAGGUGGCUCCAUCCCGGUAGAGGUGGGCCUGGGUUCCCGACGGCCCCCGACUGUUACUUUGUGGCGGAGCGACAGGGCAGGUUGAGACCAUCUAGGAGAGAUUGGGCCUGGCCCUGGUCGGUGUUCGCGGAUACUUAACACGUUUAACGAGAUCUUGGUAUUUGAUCUGAGUCUGGCUACUGGCCUAUACGCACUAACCAUCUACGCGGGGACAGUUAUGGUCACUCGACGUCGUGGUAUCAGCCGAAGCCUUCGUGAUGUCAGCGACUGAGUGGCGCGCGCCGGAUUGGACCGUAAGCCUGCUCUUGUAUUAAGGGGGCUAGUUCUGCUUCCGGCCGCGUACGCAACGUGCAGGUGUGCAAUGGGUGAUGGGCCCAGACCCCUGCGCCAUAGGAUUUAGACCGGCGUGCUGACCUCUCUGUUGUGCCUAGGUAGGGUUGUGACGUGUUGAUCUUCCGAGGCCGGGCAUGACCCAGGAAAGUGUGUCCGGCCAAAUGGGAUCAAGCGUGUUGGGAUAUGUGGUGCACCCCUGCAGGGAAGUUAAUCUAUUCGAAUAGCCGUGAUCUUCGGUAACAGGACGACUUGGAGUUGUACCUUGACCUUAUGACAACUAGAACCGGAUACUUAAUAAAACACACCCUUCCAAGUGCUAGAUACAACCGGUGGUCGCUCUCUCACAGGGCGAAGAGGGGAGGAUCAUCGGUUAGGGUUAUGCUAUGCGAUGCUACUUGGAGGACUUCAGUCUACUCUCUUCUACAUGCUGCAGGACGGAGGCUGCCAGAAGCGUAGUCUUCGACAGGAUUAGCUAUCCCCUCUUAUUCUGGCAUUCUGCAGUUCAGUCCACCGAUAUGGCCUUUACACAUAUACCCAUGCAUAUGUAGUGUAGCUCCUUGCUUGCGAGUACUUUGGAUGAGUACUCACGGUUGCUUCUCCUUCUUUUCCCUCUAUCCCUUCUACCUAGUUGUCGCAACCAGAUGUUGGAGCCCAGGAUCCAGACGCCACCGUCGAUGACGACUCCUACUACAUCGGAGGUGCCUACUACUAUGUGCUGCCCGCUGACGACGACCAGGAGUAGUUAGGAGGAUCCCAGGCAGGAGGCCUGCGCCUCUCUCGAUCUGUAUCCCAGUUUGUGCUAGCCUUCUUAAGGCAGACUUGUUUAACUUAUGUCUGUACUCAGAUAUUGUUGCUUUCGCUGACUCGUCUAUGAUCGAGCUCUUGUAUUCGAGCCCUCGAGGCCCCUGGCUUGUAAUAUGAUGCUUGUAUGACUUAUUUUAUUUGUAGAGUUGUGUUGUGAUAUCUUCCCGUGAGUCCCUGAUCUUGAUCGUACACGUUUGCGUGUAUGAUUAGUGUACAAUUGAAUCGGGGGCGUCACAAGUUGGUAUCAGAGCCGACUGCCUGUAGGAAUCCCCCUUCCACACUCCUUGGCCGAAGUUGAGUCUAGACAUUUCAAAUUUUUUUACUAACAUGGUUGUGUGCCUUAUGGGCCCACGUCGCCAUCUGGGUGGUAUUAGGAUCUUUUACUCUUCGAUCCUUACUCUGGGACUCUGAACUCUCUUCUACUCGGGUUAAAUGAUUUUUCUAAAAUCUAACUUUAGUUUCUUGAAAAUACUUCUCCCGGAGAGCCCCUUCACUCCAGAUGAUCGCCUACUACAUCAGAGGAUUCAGAAGAUACUCUCCGAAGUUAUCCCGAGAAUGCGUGCUCAUUGCGUUUGCAAUUACCUUCCACUGUCAACCCCUAUAGAUAGCUACAUGCACUUGUCAUUCGUACUUUUAUUUCCAGUUGAUCUUGUUAUUACAAGAUACCCCGAAAUUCUCUAUUGUUCCGAGAAUACUUCGUGCCACUGCCUUGCAGUUCUUUGCCACCUGAAUACCCAUACGGAUAGUUUCUCGCACUUAUUGAGUAUUCGCUCAUCCAUAGUUGUUUCAAGUAUUUCACAUCAGUCUUCGAAAUACCAUUCAAUCUUCAGAAAAUCCUCAACAGCCCGUUGUUCUUGAAAUUCGUGCUCGCUUGCAUUAUGGUUAAUUUCAUAAGUCUAGUAAUCUUAUUGGCAUCCUUUGACACUAUCAUUUUGAGUACGUUGAUUCGACAAGUUGCGAAGGCUCGCAAUCCUCAAUCGGGUCCUAGAAUUCAUCCUUCCAGCUCAGACGUCAUUUUAAACAUGGGCUGCUUCUCAACCAAUCAAAUCGCCAUCGAUUGUACCCCUAAGCCUGCUCAGCUUAUCCAUCCUUAAUCAGAGCGUUUGCUUCUGAUCCCUUCAUUUGGAAAUCAUAAUUCCUUUGUAUUUGAGCUAUGAGUUAGUCAGAUGUUUCUAUAAUCCGAUAUCCUUGCAUUCUUCUUCCUGUAGUUGAGUACCGAUGCUCACAUCAGAUCCCUUGUGGACCACCAGAUCCUUUGUUGCAUUUUAUCCGACAGCGUCCUUCAUAUUCAAUAAGUCUGUGAGCUUUUCCUCGGAUACAUAAUGCCUUUGGUAAAUUGUAUCCUCUGCAUUCUCAAGCAUGCUCUACUAUCGAGCUUGUGUUAUUAUUCUUAAAUUUGUGGUAUAUACUCCUAAGAUGCCCCGAUGGGUUGAACCUAUGCCUUCCCCAAAUGGUAUGAACCCGAAAGUUUUCACGAGUCAUACUCUUCUGUUGUUUCCCUAGAUAAAAUUUCUACACUACAGCCUCAUCAAAUGCGAGAAGUAAAAUGAAAGGUUAUGCAUUGAAGAAGUGGGAGUCGACCUUGAGCCUUUGCGUUCAUGCCCAUGGACCCGAUGUGGAACUUUUCAUCGAAGCUUCUUGUAAAUGAUAAUAAUCCCCUUGUUAUAAGUUCGUCCUGUAUCUAUGUUUGGUCCUUUGCAAUCAUGGUUCCGACCAUAUUUUCUCCUUAAUACCAUUUCUCGGACAAGUUGAAGUACUUGUCUUGUGCAGAUCAUUGCACCUGUCCAACCUUUACUUUGAUGUACUGUCGAUUAUUACACUAUGAUAUCUUGAUAAUGUCAUGGAACUACAUAACUUCUUAUGGGUUCUUCAUUAACUGUUAUUUCUCACCGAUUCCAAUUUUUCUAGGUUUUGGGUUGUCGUCAACCGAGAACACCGAUAUGUGAACCGAUUCCGCAUUCCGGUUCGAUAACCCUAAUUAAUUUUCGUUGCUUAUGAGUUUAAUAAUCCUUAAAGUCAUUCCUAGCCUGAUCGGCUAUACCAUUAUUGGGCUAAUUUUUAACUGUGCUACCUGGUCCUUCUUCAUGGAGCACAAAUUUUGAAAGUGAGCUAAUCUUACGUCGAUCUUCCUCGUCAUAUCAUUUCUCCCUGAACAGCAAACUUGAUUUCGAGUUUGUGUCAUACCCAUGGUUCCAAUAACCUUUCGCUUCAUCAUUCCUUUGACUUGAUGUCAUCGCCGAUCGAUUACAUCUUCGUGGAGCCUCUCGACUAAAUUUGUCGUGGUCAUCAAACAACAUUUUGAUUCCUUCCAGAAUAUCAACCAAAUGGAUGAUGACAGGUAACCAUCCUUGUCCCUCGAUGAUUUGUGUUAUCACCGACAACAUUAUUGCCUUCCCUCCAACACAAACUUGUUCGUGUUUUGUGUUAUACCUGGAGACCCGUGCUAUCCAACAAUUAUUCUUCGAUACCUUGGAGUAUUACCAUCUUUUAUGUCAAGAAUGUCAUGAGAAUUUCAACACCUCCUAAGAAUUCUUGAUACAGGUAAUACUUAUCACCAUCACCAUUCUUUCUUGGUCCCCGUGUUGGAUCUAACCGGGAUACCAACAGGUGAACGGUGCUGUUUGGAUUAUUGCCUUCUAGCAACCCUAUUGCUUUGAAGUUAAUGGUCGAACGUUCAUUCUUAGACUAUUGAUCACUGAAUCACCAUUCUAACAUUUGAUCAUGCUACCUAAGGCCCUACUUUGGGCACCCUUUUCCACUAAUGUUAAAUUGUGUAUGUUUUUCCUUGAGCAUACAUCAUUAUAUCAUUUGAUCCGGAAAAUGUUAUCUCCUUGUUCACAUAACUGUGGAAAUCCAUCUUUUUGGAUACCUCGUUGUAUUAUCGCUGAGUCCAUCAGCCACCUCCUCAUCCUCUCCUUGGCUUAAUGAUGAAUCCCUUCGUGUAUCCAGAGUCUGACCUUUGAUUGAAGACCAUGCAAUGCUAUAUCGAAGCAUGUCUGUGGUACUCUGAUUUUCAGCAAGAACAUUUGAAGCCCCAUGCUAAAUGUUUCUUGCUCUAUUGUCCAAACACUGUUGUAUGGUUAAUGUCAUGAAAUUUUUCUCCCCUUACCUAAAAAGUUUUCUACAUUAUAUCAUGUCAUGGAUAAUAUGUUCUGCUUGUCCUUGGGAAGAAUAUACCCUUGAAAUAUGUGUUUAAACACAUUUUCCUUUCCAUUGUUCUGUUUAAACCUAAUAAUCACUUUUCCUUUCCAUUGGUUUGUUUAAACCUUCUUGUGAUCUAUACUGUAUAAGCAGGUGUACAAUUCUGUCAGCGAGACCCUGUUACUAUUGUUGAUGACAUUCUGGUAGCCACUGAUGAACGAGAACUUUGCCUAUUGGUCCGCCUCAUUCAACGAGCAGGAAAAUGGUUCUCUUCGUCCCUCGCCCUUGGUACCUACGUUGUUGCCGACAUAAUCGACAGGCCACCCUCUGACAUACCUUGCUUGCAUGAUCACGCAAGAUGUCUCCGCCCUUCCUACUUUUAACCCACAUGGUGGGCCCAUAACCCACAGUUCCACAGGAUCGAAACCUGACUCUCCUGUACAACCCUAUUUCUAAUGUUUAUUCCCCACGCUUGGCUUCAUAUUUAAUUCAUGGGCCACCUUCCUAGUGCUCUAUUCUGGUGUUAGACGCAAUACUUACUCUCGCUGCUCUGAGCCCCUGUCUCACUCUGGUUCAAACUUCGAGCAACCAUCUAUCCUCUUGGAACCUCUUAUGGUACCUUCGUACCUUACUCUCGAUGUAUUUUAUAUGUUCAACUCGAGAGAUAAUCUUAUGCUCAUUCAUAGGUUAAACCCAAAUGGUUUCCCUCAUAAACAUUCUGUCGUAGCUGAGCUGCCCCUUACCUAUUCGUAAGUACGUUGGAGUGCCCGAAGAAAAGGACGACUUCACCAUAAUAACCUGAAGCAGAGAAAUGAAGACAUAAACGUAAUGGAUCGACCUCUUCAAGAAGAGCAACCAAGAUUGAGGACACUCGUUAGAUUUUCGUAAUCCAAUCCCGUCCCCCUCCCUUCCCCUGUUAAAUCUCAGGACGAGAUUUCUUGUAGUGGAGGAGAAUUGUGACGCCCGGAUCAUUAAGCUAUAGUAAUCCCCCGUUAAUGGUGCCAUGUCAUCACAUUACUGUUGCCAAUCCUUGUUUGAUCCAACUCUUAGUUCAAACUCAAAUUCAAAUUAAAGCUUAAUAUUCAAAUUUCCCGACCAUGCAAAAUAAAAUGUUCAAAGUGUGAGAAAUAUUACAUAACUAAUUAUGGUGGUGAUCCAACACUUUUGUAAAGUAUUUAAAUGCUCUUUUGUGAAUAUAACAGUGACUAAAAAUAAUUGUUAAAUGCCUUUCCUAAUUUAAAAUGUUAAACUAUUUUUAUUAUGUGUGAAACUUUUUGUGGCUGUGGGUUAUUUUGUAAAUCGAUUUAUAGAGCCAGUCAUAUGUUUUAGUAAAGCUGUUUUUGCCUACUAAAAUAAUAUAAACAGAGUGUAAUAAAAAGAAAGAAAACCAAAAC
rnacentral:lncRNA from 1 species